rnacentral:rRNA from 1 species
GACGAACGCUGGCGGCGUGCUUAACACAUGCAAGUCGAACGGAAAGGCCCUGCUUUUGUGGGGGGCUCGAGUGGCGAACGGGUGAGAAACACGUGAGUAACCUGCCCUUGACUUUGGGAUAACUUCAGGAAACUGGGGCUAAUACAGGAUAGGAGCUCGUGCUGCAUGGUGGGGGUUGGAAAGUUUCGGCGGUUGGGGAUGGACUCGGGGCUUAUCAGCUUGUUGGUGGAGUAGUGGCUUACCAAGGCUUUGACGGGUGGCCGGCCUGGGAGCGUGACCGGCCACAUUGGGACUGAGGGACGGCCCAGACUCCUACGGGAGGCAGCAGUGGGGAAUAUUGCACAAUGGGCGGAAGCCUGAUGCAGCAACGCCGCGUGCGGGAUGACGGCCUUCGGGUUGUAAACCGCUUUCGCCUGUGACGAAGCGUGAGUGACGGUAAUGGGUAAAGAAGCACCGGCUAACUACGUG